GGGCCCGUAGCUCAGUGGUAGAGCAGCCGGCUCAUAACCGGCUGGUCGUUGGUUCGAUCCCAGCCGGGCCCACCA
rnacentral:tRNA from 1 species